rnacentral:rRNA from 1 species
GCCUAAACCCCAGCCCUACAACUCCCCCAACUUUACCUACAAUAAUAAAACAUUUCCCUCAUUAAGUAACGGCGAUUAAAACAUGAAUAGGAGCCAUAAAGAUAGUACCGCAAGAGAAACAUGAAAUAAAAUGAAAAAUUAAAAGCACACAACAGCAAAGUUUUAACCUUGUACCUUUUGCAUCAUGGUCUAGCUAGUCCAAUCAAGCAAAACGCACUUAUAGUUUGACCCCCCGAAACUAAGCGAGCUACUCCAAAGCAACUUGACAGAGCCAACCCGUCCCUGUAGCAAAAGGGUGGGAAGACUUUAGAGUAGAGGUGACACACCUACCGAGCUUAGAGAUAGCUGGUUAUUCGAGAAAAGGAUUUUAGUCCACCUUUAAGUUUCCCAAGUCCUAUAAAACCCCCAAUAAACUUAAAAGUCACUCAAAUAAGGGACAGCCUAUUUGAAAGAGGACACAGCCUACAACUUAGGGUAAUGACCCCCCCCCGUGACUAAGUCAGCCUAAAAGCAGCUAACUUUAAGAAAGCGUCCAAGCCUCAUCACAAACCCUCAUCAAUUCCAUAAUUAACUCAUAACCCCCAACCACUACCGAAUAAUCCCAUAUUCUAUGGGAGCUAUUAUGCUAGAACUAGUAACAAGAAGAAGAACUUCUCCAAAAUGUAAACGUAAGCCAAAAUGAACACCCACUGGCAUUUACCGUUAUAAUCUACAGUAUUAACAUCACAAGAAAAACAUACUUUCACCCACGUUAACCUUACACUAGAACAUUUCUGGAAAGAUUAAAUGACGGGGAAGGAACUCGGCAAAUAUUAGCCCCGCCUGUUUACCAAAAACAUCGCCUCUUGAAAAAAUAUAAGAGGUCUAGCCUGCCCAGUGACCCAUGUUAAACGGCCGCGGUACCCUAACCGUGCGAAGGUAGCACAAUCACUUGUUCUCUAAAUCAGGACCGGUAUGAAUGGCCUCACGAGAGCUAUACUGUCUCCCCCCUCCAAUCAAUGAAACUGAUCUCCUCGUGAAGAAGCGAGGAUAAUUAUAUAAGACGAGAAGACCCCAUGGAGCUUAAAACUUGUAUCACUACCUUACCCACACCAAUUAACUUAGCAAGCAUGACUACAAGUCUUUCGGUUGGGGCGACCACGGAGAAAAAUUAAACCUCCAUGAUGAAAAGAAUAUUCCUAAUCAAAGAGCAACCACUCGAAGAAUCAACAAACUGACAUAUUGACCCAAACAUUUUGAUCAACGAACCAAGUUACCCUGGGGAUAACAGCGCAAUCCAUUUCAAGAGACCCCAUCAACAAAUGGGCUUACGACCUCGAUGUUGGAUCAGGGUACCCAAGUGGUGCAGCCGCUACUAAAGGUUCGUUUGUUCAACGAUUAAAACCCU